AGCGAACGCUGGCGGAAUGCUUAACACAUGCAAGUCUCACGGGCAGCAAUGUCAGUGGCGGACGGGUGAGUAACGCGUAGGAAUGUGUCCUGGGAUGGGGGAUAACGUCGGGAAACUGGCGCUAAUACCGCAUAUGGCCUUUGGGUCAAAGCCGCGAGGCGUCUUGGGAGCAGCCUGCGUCCGAUUAGCUUGUUGGUGAGGUAAAGGCUUACCAAGGCGACGAUCGGUAGCUGGUCUGAGAGGACGACCAGCCACACUGGGACUGAGACACGGCCCAGACUCCUACGGGAGGCAGCAGUGGGGAAUUUUGGACAAUGGGGGCAACCCUGAUCCAGCCAUGCCGCGUGCGGGAAGAAGGCCUUCGGGUUGUAAACCGCUUUUGUCGGGGAAGAAAUCUUCUGGGCUAAUACCCGAGGAGGAUGACGGUACCCGAAGAAUAAGCACCGGCUAACUACGUGCCAGCAGCCGCCGUAAUAC
rnacentral:rRNA from 1 species